GCCUCCUUAGCUCAGUGGCCAGAGCACCUGUCUUGUAAACAGGCGGUCGAGGGUUCGACUCCCUCAGGGGGCU
rnacentral:tRNA from 1 species